UGAUUCAGUUUUCUUUUUCUUUUUUUUUCUCUAUUUCUAAUUACCUCUCGGUAUAUAACUAUAUCCGAUGCUAAAUGCUCCACGGACAAAUCGGUGAAGACAGGUUCAAUAAAAUUAGUUCAGUACAUCAACAGUCGCUGUUCCCCAGCGCUGCCCUACUCGACAUUCUUGAUUUUUUCCACGCUCCACCUAGCGCUAGGCUAUUUGAGGCGGGGUAGAAUGCAGUGUGAUAAUUGAUUUUCGUUUGAUUUUUCUCAACCCGUCGUUAGAAUUAAAGCACUAUAUCAUAUCUAAAUACAUAGGAAAUACAACAAUAAUAAUUUGUACUCGAUGAUUACAAGGCAGAAUGUUCAGUGGUUCCAGCAAGAGUGAUUAAACGUGCUUCUAAGAUUAUCAGAAGUAUCCGCUACUUUUCACUAUUUACCCGUCACAGUAUGAAUAACUGAUGGGGCCUUUCCUCUCGAAGGGCAGCAGGUGACUGAAAAAAAAUAAACAGUAGGGUCGGAAGGCAGCCUUCCAAAUGAUCUAUGAUCUAGGUCUAAAUUGUGUGGUGGAGUUGUGAAAACACACACAUAAAAAGAUGGAUAAAGCGUUUGGGUUUGGGUAUUUUAAAGGGGGGUUUUUCAAUUCGUUUUGCAGUGCGUGCGUGCCAUCAAACGCUCAGGGAAUAGCAAUGUGAAUUGUGAAUGUUGAAUAGCGAACGCUGCUAGAUUCCUAAUGGACUACACUGUGUAUUCGAAUAAAACUUACUGAACUCACGCUUCGAAACGUUGUUCAAAUUUUGUUUCCUGGAAAACGCACAGAACUAGCUACUACAACAGCUUUCCAAAGUCGGCCGCAUCGGCGCUAAGCGGAGGACAAGCGGCAAGUGUGCGCGUGGUAGCGAAACGAGAGAGGAGAGGGAGUCGGUGCCGUCUUUGUGUUGGCUCGGCGACAGCAGCCAGCCAUGGGUCGAUAGCUCGUCGAUACAAGAGCCUGAGAGACGCUUCCACUCACACACGCACACACACGUACACACUCGCGCCCUCUACAGGAUUGGGUGCCUUUCGUUCUUUGUCGAGAAAGAAAAAGAUCGUGAAAGCAAUUCCGAAGACUAGUCUGUGUCACUUCGUGGAAUAUAAAGAACCUUGGUCCUUUGGAAACUGUUUUGUUGUGUGAAGUAUAAUUGUUCAAGCUGAGGCGAUUCCGUUCGGGAAUAAAUGCAUGUGACCCGUUGAACUUGGAUGUUCCUGGUGGAGAUUGGACCUGAUUCAUUAUUCUGCUGAUUUUUCUUAUGAUUACGUCCAAUCGAAGAGCAAAGGCCAGACCUGCAUCCAGAUUAUUUAGUUCUACGGCUACUAGUCCGACGGAUAAGCUGUAACUGUGAGUCUGUCUGUCCGGCCUCGGUCACCCAGCCGUGUUGCGGUGAGUCAUCACAUGACACCACAUUAAUUAUUGACCACCGGGGACACACGCCACUCACUGCCAAUCGCCUCAAGGCCGUUUGAUGAUCUGUCCGCCUUGCCAGAUAGAGCGAAGACUGGGUAAAAAAGAGCAGGAUAUUUUUUUAAAGAAAAGGAUACGGUUUUUCAUCAGGAACUAAAUCAAGGACAUUGCUGUCCAAAGGCAUCGUAUACAUGUAUAAACAAAGUAGCCUGGAUCAGAAAAGGACAGUUUUUGAGGAGGAACCAGUCAUAAUCUGUUUUUUUUAGUCUGUACAUAUCAGGUCACACAAGUGUUACAUAUAUACUGUUAGGGUCAUCGAGUCUUGUCAAAGGAACUUGUCCCACUCCCUCUCGCCCCCCAAUCCCACAGUCUGCAACAACUAGAUACGCAUUUUAUUUUCCAUUUUUAAGCCGUUGUGUGUAGAGGAGAUAGGAAUGACUGUGGUCACUCGCUUCAAGUACUUAUAAAAUACAACCCCGAUUCCAAUAUAUAUGCAGACGCUGAUCGAUGCGUCGUUCAAAUUGACAGAGAUCUUGACCAGAUUGAGUGUGUGGAUCAAGUCAAGAUUGCUGGAGCUGUAUUUAAACGAUGUAAGUCAAUCUGACUGACAUUGGAGCAAGUGACAUUUACGAAGUAUUUGCACGACACAGAACCUCUUCUAUUUAGCUGUGCUUGUAUCGCUUAGGAUCUGUUUGAAAUUGACUAUAAUCCUUUAUUAGCAUUGUGACCG